GUGCUCCCCCGCCAAUUCCUUUAAGUUUCAGCCUUGCGGCCGUACUUCCCAGGUGGCUCGCUUCACGGCUUCCCUGCGGCACCAGACACGGUCGCGCCAUGCCUGACACCUAGCGAGCAUCGUUUACGGCUGGGACUACCCGGGUAUCUAAUCCGGUUCGUGCCCCCAGCUUUCGUCCCUCACCGUCGAACCCGUUCUGGUAAGACGCCUUCGCCACAGGUGGUCCCACAGGGAUUACAAGAUUUCACUCCUACCCCUGUAGUACCUCUUACCUCUCCCGGUUCCAAGCCUGGCAGUAUCCCCCGAAAGCCUAACGGUUAAGCCGUCAGAUUUCCCGGAGGACUGACCAAACCGGCUACGGACCCUUUAGACCCAAUAAUCACGAUCACCACUCGGGCCGCCGGUGUUACCGCGGCGGCUGGCACCGGUCUUGCCCGGCCCUUGCUAACAGGUGUAUUUUACACACCUGGACAGCCAGCAUAUGAUGCUGGCACUCGGUGUCCCCUUAUCACGGUUUCCCGCAUUGUAAAGUUUUCGCGCCUGCUGCGCCCCGUAGGGCCUGGAUUCAUGUCUCAGAAUCCAUCUCCGGGCUCUUGCUCUCACAACCCGUACCCGUUGUAGGCUAGUAGGUACAUUACACCCACUACUACCUGAUAGGCCGCAGACCCAUCCUUGGGCAGACGAAUCCAUUUUACGCAUAAAGCAUUCCAGCAUAUGUGCGUUAUCCGGAAUUAUCCCCAGUUUCCCGGGGUUAUGCCGGACCCAAGGGCAGGUUAUCCACGUGUUACUGAGCCGU
rnacentral:rRNA from 1 species